rnacentral:tRNA from 1 species
GGAGAGGUGUCCGAGUGGUUGAAGGAGCACGCCUGGAAAGUGUGUAUGCCGCCUGAAACGGCAUCGAGGGUUCGAAUCCCUCUCUCUCCGC